GAGAACCUGGUCAUGGAUCAACUGGUGAAGUAGAUCUCCAAGCUUGGCACCUGUUGGAAAGACAGACAAUGAAUUUUGUUUGUUGUUCCAGGUGGUGGAAACAUGGAGUUACGAUCAACUUCCUGUCCAACAUGUUGAGGUCGGAAUGCCAUCACAGUCCAAGUGCCAUCGGGGACUCGGCCACCAAGAUCCUGCACCUGCUUAAUCUUGAAUGUUGACAUGCAAAUAAACUUACUAAAUAGGAGCUUGGCUGGUCCCUCGUUCAUCUCUUGUUGUGUUCAGGUCUCCCGGAGAAGUCUCUGUGCCACCAGUCCACUGUGAAGGCUUCAGUUGUUCGAUGCAAAGAUGGUUCUUGUGCAGUUGUGUUCAAGCUAAAGGUGAAGUAGAUCUCCAAGCUUGGACCUGUUGGAAAGACAUUGCAUCAUGAUCAACUUCUGUCCAACAUGUUGAGAGGUCGGCUUCCAGUCCAAGUGCCAUCGGGGACUCUGCCACCAAAAUCCUGGACCUGCUGGGCAAAGAGAUGAGUUCUACAUGACUGUGGAGAAGGACUCCCGGAGAAGUCUCUGCGCCACCAGUCCAUUCUGAAGGCUUCAGUCGUUUGAUGGACGGUUCUUGUCCCAGUACUUGUUCAAGCAGAAGGUUCCUGUCUACCCGAGAUGAUUUUCCAGCAAGGUCCUUGCUUGUCUUUUGUCUGCAGUCACGACAGCCUCUUGUUUGAAGUCAUUGGGAGCUGAGGAACAAGAUGGUGGUAUUUAAAAUAAAAAACAAAAAGUUGAGCAGUUUAACAGUUAACAACUUGAGUCAGAAGAAGUUUGAAACUAAGAUGAUUCCUCAUGUCGUCACGCUCAAACAGCUUCUGCCGAAGGUUACGGUUGAGAGUUAACCACAAUAAAAAAUGCAACUUGAAUCUGUGUCCACUUGCAUGUUCUUUGUCAUUCAGGUGGUCGUGCAGAUGGAGCCAUCAGUCCUACAAGGUGAAACGCUGCAUUCACGGUACGGAGCGGAGCUGCAGACAAAUGUUUUUCUUGUUGCUUCCUCUCAUCCACAAGGUGCUGAAGCCAAAUUUUGGAGCAGCCUGAGAAGCGGGAGACCUUGACCCCUGGACGGUACGCCCUUUGAAUUGUCUUCAUUCCACAAUUGGGUCUUCUUGGAUCCAGUUUUUUUUUUUUUUUCUUUUUCCCCUUCUUCGGGUUGCUGAGGAACAUGCAGCCGUGCGAGUGCUCUAAGGCCCAGAAAACAAGUCUCCCGUCUUCCUCGCUGGUCCGCACACCGGUCCACGCUCUCGUCACACAGGCCGAUCACUUCACCAGGCAGCGAUGAGGAGACGAUUGCUGAUGUCAUCAGGCUUCGACUUGGUUUCCUUUGUGAUUUCAUUUCUGUUGCUUAACAUCUACUCUGC